UCCAUUUCUUUGCUGUGGCCUCCUCUUUGU
rnacentral:piRNA from 1 species